rnacentral:rRNA from 1 species
AUACGGGAGGCAGCAGUGGGGAAUAUUGGACAAUGGGGGCAACCCUGAUCCAGCAAUGCCGCGUGUGUGAAGAAGGCCUUCGGGUUGUAAAGCACUUUCAAUAGGGAGGAAAAGCUGUGCGUUAAUAGCGUACAGCCGUGACGUUACCUAUAGAAGAAGCACCGGCUAACUCCGUGCCAGCAGCCGCGGUAAUACGGAGGGUGCAAGCGUUAAUCGGAAUUACUGGGCGUAAAGCGCGCGUAGGCGGUUUGUUAAGUCAGAUGUGAAAUCCCCGGGCUCAACCUGGGAAUGGCAUUUGAGACUGGCAGGCUAGAGUGUGGUAGAGGUGAGUGGAAUUUCAGGUGUAGCGGUGAAAUGCGUAGAGAUCUGAAGGAACAUCAGUGGCGAAGGCGACUCACUGGGCCAUUACUGACGCUGAGGUGCGAAAGCGUGGGUAGCAAACAGGAUUAGAUACCCGCGUAGUCCG